GACAGAGGGUGCAAACGUUGCUCGGAAUCACUGGGCGUAAAGGGCGUGUAGGCGGGACAGUAAGUCGGGCGUGAAAUCCCUGGGCUCAACCCAGGAACUGCACUCGAAACUACUAUUCUUGAGUGUCGGAGAGGAAAGCGGAAUUCCUGGUGUAGAGGUGAAAUUCGUAGAUAUCAGGAGGAACACCAGUGGCGAAGGCGGCUUUCUGGACGAUAACUGACGCUGAGACGCGAAAGCCAGGGGAGCAAACGGG
rnacentral:rRNA from 1 species